rnacentral:lncRNA from 1 species
CCCCAGGAGGACACCUCCUCCAACUGGCUAUUGACACACUUUUUGUGCCCUAUCAGUAUUUGCAAAGAGAAGCCACCGUUCCCAUCUGUAACCUGACGUGAUACACACGGACCCGAGUUUCUGGGUAUUGACCCGUCAUCAGCGUGUGACAAUCACCGGUUGUCGAUGUGAAGUGGUUCCCUAUGCAAAUAUAUAUAUAUAUCCUUUUUUCCAGUAACCUUAAGGGUUUGCCACAUUUAAGUGGCAAAUAUACUUCACGAUGUCAUGCAGCUACUGCUAAUACAUCGUUCAGAGAUUUAUUAUUGUUUGUUUACACUUUUUCGAGAUCAGUGACGUUUCGGUAAUUUUAUCCCUGCUAAGGACUGUACCUUGCCUAUUUUUAGGUGUUUUAUAGAAAAACAAUGUCGAAAAAUGCAGACAUAGAACAGCACCAAAAAUCUGUCCACGGAGACCGACAUAGUUUAACAUUGAAGGACCUCGAUCCUAACACUCAAUAUCUAGUACAGGUUCAAGCAAUUGUUCAAGUCGGUAAGAAAAGAUAUAGAAGUACGAAAGAAACAAUGCAGAUGGUAACAGACAGUGA